CCUGGUACAGGAAUUUCACUUGCUUCAUGAAUUUCCUAUUAAUGCAAAUGCCUUUUCUCAAGUAAUACUCUUGGCUAAGACACUGCAGUGACUGGCCAAGCUCACACAAGUGAGAUAAAGCAACUUCUGAAUGGCAGGUGUCAGCAGCAUAGGCAGCUGCAUGACGUGUGAGUGACAUGGAAGAAACAGGCUGGCUGCCAAGACUCCUGAGCAGCAAUGUGCUUGAGCUCCAACUGAUACAAUCAAAGCAGAGAGACCAGCAUACUCAUUUUGAAUAAUAUUUCAGCAAGAUCUUGUUAUUUUGUUGCCUUCUGCAGUCUACCAGGGGACACUACUUCUGUACAACACCAUCAACUUUUGGUGGGUCUCUGCACAGGUGGUAAGAUGUCAGAGAAGAUUUUGAUUCCUUGAUGGUAAGAUUUCUGGUCUAUGCUAGCAGUUGCACUAUUGUUCUCC
rnacentral:lncRNA from 1 species